AUUUUUAGUUCAGUUUAAAUUUGGAGUUUCGGAGAUGAGUGGCCAUUAUUGUUAUUUGUUGGGGUUUUUGAUUAUAGGUGCAUCAAAGAUUUGAAGAAUGGUAUCUGUUUUUUGGUUCAAUCAGAUGGUAUGUUUCUCAAAUCAUACCAGCGUGACCCACUCGAACAUCAAGCCCGAAGAGAUGGUCUCAGGCCUCGUACUAUUGGUGCCCGCUAUUGGGUUUGUAGUUUGUCAAAAUUGGAUGUGAUUCGAGUUCAUGGGUCUCAAAACAACGCUCUUAAUUUUAGGGAUAUUGGUCCAUCUGCUUCUAAAGUUGCAUGAUUGCAUCUCCAGUUCUCUCAAUGUCGGAAGUUUUUCGUAGCUUUUGGUAAUCCAUCAUGGAGGAAAAUUGGCCGACUACCUUGACUGGUGUCUUCAACACGUUGAAAUGCUGGUCUCUAGUUAUGGAUUCACCUAUGAUUAUUACCCCACAUGGGGUUCAAAACUCUUCUUGAUGACCUUUGGGAAGUGGUUCUUUUAUUGAAUAUGCUUUUUUUUAAUGGGCCAUUCGUUUGCUGUUCAUUUUGAUAUAUUGAUGUUUUCUGCGUCUGCAGUGUGUUUUAAUCGGAUGGGCUGAAGAACAGAUGUUUAGUUGUGAUUGGUGUCUUCAACAUGUUGGAAUGCUGGUGUCUAGUCAUGGAUUCGCUUAUGAUUAUUACCCCUCAUAGGGUUCAAAACUCUUCCCGUUUUAAUUCUAUAUCCUAAUGUUCUAGUUUGAGGCCUUUAUUUGGUUAUAUGGUGAUGAUGAUAGCAUGAGAAUGAUUUCUUUCAUUUUAUGGGGUGAAUGAUUGUAGGGAAUCUAUCAUGGAAGAAAAUUGGCCGGCUACCUCAUUGACUUUCGUCACUGUUGGAUUUUGAGCCUAAAUUGGUGUGAUUACCUCUCAGUCAUAUCUCAUUUGGUUGACUUUCUUUUGGAAGCUCUUUCAUUCAAAUUAUAGUAGCCAAGUAUCUGUUGAACUAUUGUAUGCUUAGGGCUGUGUUCAACUGUUCUCCCUGAAGCAAUUUUUUGUGAAGACAAAUGCAAUAUUAUUUGAUGUUAGGUGUGGCUGUUUGAUUUGAUCCAUCACUUUUGGGAUUUUUUUCUUUUCUCCUGUCCUUUCUGUUAUUUGGUCGACAUAUUUGUUUGGGAAUUUUGGGCAGAAUCAGUGUGGUAUAGUGAUAUACGUUUGCUCUUUGAUUGUGAAUUCUUCGUUUGCAUUGAUUGUUCUCCUUAGGUACGAUGGUUAUUUGCCCUUGUGAUCGGUGGCACAUAUUGGUGCCCUUGUAGCUGGUGGCACACAUUGGACCGUUUUAAGUUUGUUCACUAGCAGUGUGGUUUGAUUUAUCUGGAUUCAACUUUGGACUUUCUUUCUUGUUGGCUAGCCUUGAAUUGGUCUUUGUUAAAAUCUUAUGUCCUGGCGGUUCUGUAGGUGGGGGAUCUAUAUAUGCAUUUGUUGUUUGUCCAAUGGGCUCCAUGGCAUACAUCUCUUUUGGGCGGGCUCUAUUUGGUUUUUUUGGAUUCUAGUAAAGUGUUUUGGAUCUCUCAUAGGUAUAUACACUGGCUGUUGUUAUGUUUAGGGCUUAGGGUGCACCCUGGUGCUAGCAACUAUAUUUCUUAGCUAACUUAUA